rnacentral:rRNA from 1 species
GUCCACGCCUUAAACGAUGAGAGCUAGUUGUCAGUAAGCAUGCUUAUUGGUGACGCAGCUAACGCAUUAAGCUCUCCGCCUGGGGAGUACGGCCGCAAGGUUAAAACUCAAAGAAAUUGACGGGGGCCCCGCACAAGCGGUGGAGCAUGUGGUUUAAUUCGAAGCAACGCGCAGAACCUUACCCACCUUUGACAUCCCGUGCUACCUAGAGAGAUCUAGGGUCCCUUCGGGGCGCGGAGACAGGUGCUGCAUGGCUGUCGU